UAAAAAUCCUGAGAUAGUCUGCCUCACUAA
rnacentral:piRNA from 1 species